CGAAAGCCGAAUAAUGUUUAUGUUCUUUAACGAACCAGAUGUUGACUUCGAUGAAGAAACCUUAAACGUAGACAUUUGCGGUAUAGUAACAACAUUCUAGAUUGCCAAAAAAUGAGUUUAUCAAGAAAUUUAGAGUUAGCAAAGAGGUUUUCAAACAGAUUGCGAUCGCACCUAAAAUGCAAAAAUGACGUAGACGCACCGUUGUAAAGGAGAUGACGAAACUAGCUUGCUUCAUGAGAUCGCUUGCGGAAAACUAUUAAAAGAAUAUAGAGGAAAACUACACUACUUGUGUGGCACAACCAUAGAGGUCACGAAUUAUUACCGAGUGCUUAGAUGUGUAUUUGAAAAUUACUUCUGUAACAAAUGGAUAAAUUUGGAGAUGACAGUGAAGGAGGAAAAUAAAAGGAAGGAGGAUUUUUACAGAAAAACUAAGAUACUGUUGUUGUUGUUGUUGUAGCAGCAUAAACAUUCCCCGUGCAUAUACGAGGAAUACUGCUGAAGUGACAGUCCUUGGCCGGAUAUAAAUCCGGGUCGUUCCGGUUACGUAGAACCAACUGUCGUGGGAACGAAAACUAAGAUACUGGGUGUAAUUGGUUGCGUUGGCUGUACACAUAUUAGUAUACAAUGUCCGAAAACCGAGGCGAAAUAUCUAUACAAGAACAAUAUAGGAAUUUACAAUUUGUGAUGCCAACUUAGUUGUAAGAUAUGUCGAUGCCAGACAUCCCGGUGAAAGCGAAGAUUCCUUCGUUCGGGAAAUAAUCGCGGCAAA